rfam:Medicago truncatula strain A17 chromosome 6, whole genome shotgun sequence.
UUAUAAGGAAAAAUUAACAUUUUAGAAUCAUUCGUUAAAUGAUGUAUGUAGUCUAUAAUAAAGACCACAUACAUCAUUUAAUGAAUGAAUCUAAAAUAUUAACUUUUGCUUAUAA